rnacentral:rRNA from 1 species
AGUGGCGGACGGGUGAGUAACGCGUGAGAAUCUGCCUUGGGGUCGGGGACAACCACUGGAAACGGUGGCUAAUACCGGAUACGCCUUCGGGUAAAAGAUUUAUUGCCCUAAGAGGAGCUCGCGUCUGAUUAGCUAGUUGGUGAGGUAAGAGCUCACCAAGGCAGCGAUCAGUAGCUGGUCUGAGAGGACGAUCAGCCACACUGGGACUGAGACACGGCCCAGACUCCUACGGGAGGCAGCAGUGGGGAAUUUUCCGCAAUGGGCGAAAGCCUGACGGAGCAAGACCGCGUGAGGGAGGAAGGCUCUUGGGUUGUAAACCUCUUUUCUCAGGGAAGAAGAUCUGACGGUACCUGAGGAAUCAGCCUCGGCUAACUCCGUGCCAGCAGCCGCGGUAAUACGGAGGAGGCAAGCGUUAUCCGGAAUUAUUGGGCGUAAAGCGUCCGCAGGUAGCGAUUCAAGUCUGCUGUCAAAGCACGGGGCUUAACUCCGUAAAGGCAGUGGAAACUGAAUAGCUAGAGUGCCGUAGGGGUAGAGGGAAUUCCCGGUGUAGCGGUGAAAUGCGUAGAGAUCGGGAAGAACAUCGGUGGCGAAAGCGCUCUACUGGACGGCAACUGACACUCAGGGACGAAAGCUAGGGGAGCGAAUGGGAUUAGAUACCCC